AGUGAACGCUGGCGGUAGGCCUAACACAUGCAAGUCGAACGGCAGCACAGUAAGAGCUUGCUCUUACGGGUGGCGAGUGGCGGACGGGUGAGGAAUACAUCGGAAUCUACUUUUUCGUGGGGGAUAACGUAGGGAAACUUACGCUAAUACCGCAUACGACCUACGGGUGAAAGCAGGGGAUCUUCGGACCUUGCGCGGUUGAAUGAGCCGAUGUCGGAUUAGCUAGUUGGCGGGGUAAAGGCCCACCAAGGCGACGAUCCGUAGCUGGUCUGAGAGGAUGAUCAGCCACACUGGAACUGAGACACGGUCCAGACUCCUACGAGAGGCAGCAGUGGGGAAUAUUGGACAAUGGGCGCAAGCCUGAUCCAGCCAUACCGCGUGGGUGAAGAAGGCCUUCGGGUUGUAAAGCCCUUUUGUUGGGAAAGAAAAGCAGCAGGUUAAUACCCCGCUGCUCUGACGGUACCCAAAGAAUAAGCACCGGCUAACUUCGUG
rnacentral:rRNA from 1 species